GCUUGAUUGCAAGACAUACAGGUCGAGCAAGGAUGAAAAUCGGACUUAGUGAUCCGGUGGUUCUGCGUGGAAGGGCCAUCGCUCAACGGAUAAAAGCUACCCGGGGGAUAACAGGCUUAUCUCCCCCAAGAGUCCACAUCGACGGGGAGGUUUGGCACCUCGAUGUCGGCUCAUCACAUCCUGGGGCUGUAGUAGGUCCCAAGGGUUGGGCUGUUCGCCCAUUAAAGUGG
rnacentral:rRNA from 1 species